GCCAAGGGCAUAGCAGGGUAGCUAUAUAUGGACGGGAUAACCGCUGAAGGCAUCUAAGCGGGAAACCCACCUGAAAACGAGUGUUCCCUAUCAGAGCCGUGGAAGACGACCACGUUGAUAGGCCGGGUGUGGAAGUGCGGCAACGCAUGAAGCUUACCGGUACUAAUAGCUCGAUCGGCUUGAUCGUUCUCAUU
rnacentral:rRNA from 1 species